AUACGGAGGAUCCGAGCGUUAUCCGGAUUUAUUGGGUUUAAAGGGUGCGCAGGCGGCCAUUUAAGUCAGCGGUUAAAUCGUGGGGCUCAACCCCAUUCUGCCGUUGAUACUGGGUGGCUUGAUUGCGGUCGAGGUUGGCGGAAUUCGUUGUGUAGCGGGGAAAUGCAUAGAUAUGACGAAGAACACCGAUUGCGUAGGCAGCUGACCAGACCGCAAAUGACGCUCAUGCACGAAAGUGCGGGGAUCGAACAGGAUUAGAUACCCUGGUAGUCCGCACAGUAAACGAUGAAUACUUGUUUUCGGCGAUAUAAUGUCGGAGGCAAAGCGAAAGCGAUAAGUAUUCCACCUGGGGAGUACGCCGGCAACGGUGAAACUCAAAUGAAUUGACGGG
rnacentral:rRNA from 1 species